rnacentral:rRNA from 1 species
UACGUAGGGUGCAAGCGUUAAUCGGAAUUACUGGGCGUAAAGCGUGCGCAGGCGGUUAUGUAAGACAGAUGUGAAAUCCCCGGGCUCAACCUGGGAACUGCAUUUGUGACUGCAUAGCUAGAGUACGGUAGAGGGGGAUGGAAUUCCGCGUGUAGCAGUGAAAUGCGUAGAUAUGCGGAGGAACACCGAUGGCGAAGGCAAUCCCCUGGACCUGUACUGACGCUCAUGCACGAAAGCAUGGGGAGCAAACAGG